AUAUAGCUCAGUGGUAGAGCACUUGCCUAGCAUGUGUGAGACCCUGGGUUCAAUCCCCAGUGU
rnacentral:tRNA from 1 species